rnacentral:rRNA from 1 species
UCCGUUGGUGAACCAGCGGAGGGAUCAUUACCGAGUUUUCAACUCCCUAACCCUUCUGUGAACCUACCUAUCGUUGCUUCGGCGGACUCGCCCCAGCCCGGACGCGGACUGGACCAGCGGCCCGCCGGGGACCUCAAACUCUUGUAUUCCAGCAUCUUCUGAAUACGCCGCAAGGCAAAACAAAUGAAUCAAAACUUUCAACAACGGAUCUCUUGGCUCUGGCAUCGAUGAAGAACGCAGCGAAACGCGAUAAGUAAUGUGAAUUGCAGAAUCCAGUGAAUAUCGAAUCUUUGAACGCACAUUGCGCCCGUCAGUAUUCUGGCGGGCAUGCCUGUUCGAGCGUCAUUACGCCCCUCAAGUCCCCUGUGGACUUGGUGUUGGGGAUCGGCGAGGCUGGUUUUCCAGCACAGCCGUCCCUUAAAUUAAUUGGCGGUCUCGCCGUGGCCCUCCUCUGCGCAGUAGUAAAACACUCGCAACAGGAGCCCGGCGCGGUCCACUGCCGUAAAACCCCCCAACUUUUUAUAGUUGACCUCGAAUCAGGUAGGACUACCCGCUGAACUUAAGCAUAUCAAUAAGCGGAGGA